AUGUUCCGCCCAGAACUCACGUAUUCUUUACCAAGAUUCAUCACCAGAAAGAGGAAACUACCUGAGACCGUACCGGAGUUGAAGUCUUCGUCGGAAUCUUCGAAGGUAGAAGUUCAGGAACAUAGGGAUUUUGGACUGAGAUUUCUUCCAUCCGUGCGUGCGGCUGCAGUAGCAGCGUGUUUCGUUUGCGAUACUGCCAGUUCUUUGAAAGCUCAAACUUGA